rnacentral:lncRNA from 1 species
CAACUUAAGACAUUUAGAACGUUUGAGCGUAGGAACAACGAAGAAUAGAGAAAAAGCCAGAUUACUUGCAUCUACAGAUGUGGAGUUCAGUGACCAUGGAGGGCCAGCCAUGUUCAGGUCCUAAUUUACACUUAGGAGGUCCUGCGUUCUAACAGCCAUCAGGCAGCGAAGACCAUCUGUGCUCUGUGGGACUUGGCUAUCAAGAUCUUUUGGACCCAUUGAUACCCGUGAAGAAGGAAACUGCCCGUCUGAAGUGAGAACACUGCUUCUGUAUUUCCAAAUAUGGACUUUAUGGUUUAGUUUGGAGGAAGUCACAUCUAUUGUUCAGAAGUUAUCACCACAUAUUAUUUUAUGGGAAAGCAAUCUGAGCCAAUCUGAAAUUAAACUUUUGAGGGGCUGAAUUGUAAAAACAAUGAAAAUCUGCUUCCAUUCAUGAUGGAAAUACAUUUCU